rnacentral:rRNA from 1 species
AAAUUGAAGAGUUUGAUCAUGGCUCAGAUUGAACGCUGGCGGCAGGCCUAACACAUGCAAGUCGAGCGGUAGCACAGAGAGCUUGCUCUCGGGUGACGAGCGGCGGACGGGUGAGUAAUGUCUGGGAAACUGCCUGAUGGAGGGGGAUAACUACUGGAAACGGUAGCUAAUACCGCAUAAUGUCGCAAGACCAAAGUGGGGGACCUUCGGGCCUCAUGCCAUCAGAUGUGCCCAGAUGGGAUUAGCUAGUAGGUGGGGUAACGGCUCACCUAGGCGACGAUCCCUAGCUGGUCUGAGAGGAUGACCAGCCACACUGGAACUGAGACACGGUCCAGACUCCUACGGGAGGCAGCAGUGGGGAAUAUUGCACAAUGGGCGCAAGCCUGAUGCAGCCAUGCCGCGUGUGUGAAGAAGGCCUUCGGGUUGUAAAGCACUUUCAGCGGGGAGGAAGGCGA